GACGAACGCUGGCCGCAGGCCUAACACAUGCAAGUCGAGCGAGCGGCGGACGUGUGAGUAAUGUAUGGGGCACUGCCUGAUUGAUGGGGAUAACUACUGGAAACGGUGGCUAAUACCGCAUACUAUCCGAUGUACCCAGCUGUGAGUAUCUAGUAGGUGGGGUAAGGGCUCACCUAGGCGACGAUCCCUAGAUGGUCUGAGAGGAUGACCAGCCACACUGGGACUGAGAGACGGCCCAGACUCCUACGGGAGGAAGCAGUGGGGAAUAGUGCACAAUGGGCGAAAGCCUGAUGCAGCCAUGCGGCGUGGAUGAAGAAGGACGUAGGGUUGUAAAGUACUUUCAGCGAGGAGGCGUUACCCGCAGAAGAAGCACCGGCUAACUCCGUGCCAGCAGCCGCGGUAAUUC
rnacentral:rRNA from 1 species